AACAUUCAACAAAUAUGAAUUGUAAUAGACACUUUUGUCCCGAACGAUUUCAGAUGUUUUACAGAAAAUUAUGGUUUUGUUUCCCUAGACCUGAAAAUGUUUGGGAGAGCAAAUCACGUGUCAGUUGAGGAGACAAAUAUUUCUGAAGCCAAAAUGGAGUCACGUCAGACUGACGACACUGAUGCAGUUCCCAGUGUCAAAAGCAAAGUCAAAGCACGUCACAGCAGCCGAUCUGGAGCUACGUCACUGGACAAACUGGAAUUGGAAGGAUCAGUUGGUGCAAGUCAAUGCUUCAGAUUGCUGCCUCAGUUCAGGGAUGACAGUGUUUCAGAUGGACCUUUACCAAGGCUCAGAAGAACAAAGAGUGUCUUUAUGAACGACAUAAUUCCAGAAUGCUCAGAAGAGCUCUAUGAUUCCUUAGAUAGUGGAGAAGAAUACAUUCCCAACUCUGAGUCAAGUGAAGAUAGCUUAUCAGAUGUUAGUUCAGUUACCAUAGCUAAAUUGAGUCCAAGGAAGAAAGUCCUCCGAGACAUUGCUUCUACAUCAAAACAUAUUGUUCCUGACAGCACUACUGUAAAUAAGGAAGAUGGAGAUAGCAGCGAGGCUGAGUGUGAGUGGACAGACGAUGAAGACUGUGCUGGCACCAGUCAGCGACCUGUUCGGAGAAAUGCUCCGGCAUGUGUGGAGGGGCAGAUGCAUGUUCCUGCUGUUAAGAAGAACAAUGGAAAAAGAGUGUAUAACAAGAGACACUACUGCCUGUACUGUGAGAAGUCAUGCAGCAAAAUUGCAAGACAUCUUCAACUGAAGCACUCUGAUGAAGGUAAAGUCCUGGAAGCCUUCAGUUUUCCAAAGGGCUCAAAGAAAAGAAAACUUCAUCUUGAUUUAAUAAGGAACCAAGGUAAUUUUGCACAUAAUGCAGCUGUCAUGAAAAAGGGGGAAGGAGAACUUGUUGCUUGCAAACGACCAUGCAAGGACAGUAAGAGAGAUGACUACAUGCACUGUGCCUACUGCCAGGGGCUUUUCAUUCGUAAGAUUCUUUGGCGACACAUAAAAGUGUGCCAGUUCCGAUCAAAAGAGGCCAGACCACAACGUGGAAAAAACAAAGUACAAGCUCUCUGUAGUUUUGCAGAACCAGCUCCAGAUGACAUUAGUGAACGAAUAUGGAAGCUGCUCAGUGUUAUGCAGGCUGAUGAAAUCACAAGUGCUGUAAAAAAUGAUCGUCACAUCAUCAGAAUUGCAGAGCAGUUGCUAAACAAAAAAGGAUCAUCUGAUGCAUCUCAAGCCUACAUUAGGCAGACUCUGAGAGAACUUGGAAGACUGUUGAUUGCUGCGUGA
rnacentral:lncRNA from 1 species